ACAUCCAGCGAAUUCGGUAGAGAUACCUUAGUGCCUUCGGGAACGCUGAGACAGGUGCUGCAUGGCUGUCGUCAGCUCGUGUUGUGAAAUGUUGGGUUAAGUCCCGCAACGAGCGCAACCCUUAUCCUUUGUUGCCAGCGGUCCGGCCGGGAACUCAAAGGAGACUGCCAGUGAUAAACUGGAGGAAGGUGGGGAUGACGUCAAGUCAUCAUGGCCCUUACGAGUAGGGCUACGCACGUGCUACAAUGGCGCAUACAAAGAGAAGCGACCUCGCGAGAGCAAGCGGACCUCAUAAAGUGCGUCGUAGUCCGGAUUGGAGUCUGCAACUCGACUCCAUGAAGUCGGAAUCGCUAGUAAUCGUAGAUCAGAAUGCUACGGUGAAUACGUUCCCGGGCCUUGUACACACCGCCCGUCACACCAUGGGAGUGGGUUGCAAAAGAAGUAGGUAGCUUAACCUUCGGGAGGGCGCUUACCACUUUGUGAUUCAUGACUGGGGUGAAGUCGUAACAAGGUAAGCGUAGCGAG
rnacentral:rRNA from 1 species